rnacentral:misc_RNA from 1 species
GAUGAAGAACGCAGCGAAGUGCGAUAAGUAGUGUGAAUUGCAGAAUUCCGUGAAUCAUCGAAUCUUUGAACGCAAAUUGCACUCUCUGGUAUUCCGGAGAGUAUGCCUGUUUGAGGGUCGGCUUAUAUAAAAAUCAACGUGUUGCUUUUAAGCGACAUGUUGGAAUUGAGUCAUCUUAACCCUAGGUUAAGCGAUUUAAAAUUAUUUUACUUCGGUAUUAUUACGUACUUAUUUUGUCGUUUGAAAUACCGAAUUUAUCAUUAGACGUGACUACCUUGGUGGCCUCAUGUCUAUAUUUUUCGAUUAACGACCUCAAAUCAGGUAAGAACACCCGCUGAACUUAAGCAUAUCAAUAAGCGGAGGA